rfam:Salmo salar isolate Sally breed double haploid chromosome ssa19, whole genome shotgun sequence.
UCAUUCACUGACUGUAAGUCGCUCUGGAUAAGAGCGUCUGCUAGAUGACCAAAA